GCCGAUGUAGCUCAGCUGGCAGAGCGGCUGUAUCGUAAACAGUAGGUCGUCGGUUCGAUUCCGACCAUCGGCU
rnacentral:tRNA from 5 species